rnacentral:lncRNA from 1 species
GUGGGGCGCCAUGGGAGGCCUGAGGUGUAUAGCCAAUAGACGACCCCAGCUUGGCUCUACCCACUGGCCUUUGCUUGACCUGCGUUAGUCUCGAUGGUCGAUGGGUGACUCUGCGAAUCCAUGCGGGGUCAAGAGGGGCACCCACCAGACCACCCAAAGGGUGAGCCCCUGGUGGGCCUAUUCAUGUGAUCAUCACUGUCUUUUCUACUCCUCUCUCCUACAAGGCUACAACUCAGCCGAUACGGUAUUUAAAUAUAUUUGUUUGCCUACCGCAGAAUUAUCAG